GACGAACGCUGGCGGCGUGCUUAACACAUGCAAGUCGAACGGAAAGGCCCUGCUUUUGUGGGGUGCUCGAGUGGCGAACGGGUGAGUAACACGUGAGUAACCUGCCCUUGACUUUGGGAUAACUUCAGGAAACUGGGGCUAAUACCGGAUAGGAGCUCCUGCUGCAUGGUGGGGGUUGGAAAGUUUCGGCGGUUGGGGAUGGACUCGCGGCUUAUCAGCUUGUUGGUGGGGUAGUGGCUUACCAAGGCUUUGACGGGUAGCCGGCCUGAGAGGGUGACCGGCGACAGUGGGAGUGAGAGACGGCCCAGACUGCUACGGGAGGCAGAAGGGGGGAAUAGUGCACGAUGGGCGGAAGCCUGAUGAAGCAACGCCGCGUGCGGGAUGACGGGCUUCGGGUUGUAAACCGCGAUCGCCUGUGACGAAGCGUGAGUGACGGGAAUGGGUAAAGAAGGACCAGCUAACUACGUC
rnacentral:rRNA from 1 species